AGGAUGAUGAUAUUGAAAGUCUUCUUGCUCCACAAGCAAAGUAAAGACAGUGUCAGCAGCAGAGAGAGGAAGAAGGGAGGAAGAGCAGGGCAUAGCGCAACAGACAUGUCCUCUGCAGGAUGGGGGGAGGUGGUUAUUGCUGAGGCUUCAGUAUCUUCUGCCUCUGUGGUACAAAGCUAAGAGAAUGAUGGGACAUCGGAGGCAAAGAGCAAGACAAACAGGAGGAGUAGGAGUCCCUGAGUCAUAGGGAGGCGUUGCUAAUGUGUGUAUCCAGCACAGUACAGUGAAGGUGUCCUCAGUGUUCCAUAACAUCACCUACGGGAACCUCAGGACUCUGAUGAUGGCAUCGUCAUGGCAAUGACCUGGCCAGAUCCGGCAAAAGUGAUACACAUGCCAGUGGAUGACUGACAUGGAGGCCAAAGCAAAGAUCAAUGCCUUCUCUACCCUCAUUUUCCUGCUGCAGCCCGAAGACUGCCUCAACACAUUGGUUGAGUUCAGUAGCCAUUGCUUAGCUUGUGAAAAUAUGAAUAAUGGCCAGACAAUGGGUAGAAUACUCCUUUUACAGUCCCUAGUGUUGUAAUGGACAGUGUCUAUCUUUUACAGAUCCAUGGGGUGAAUUGUGCUUGCUGCUUCUUGUGACCUCUGUAGCUAUUGUACCAUGUUCUUUUUGUUGUAUAUUUCUGUCAACAAUUCUACUCAUAUUAUAGGCCAUUGUAAUUGUGUUGAAGUCAUUUAUUGAACAGUACUCCAAUGGAAGGAAAUAUCUAAAUAUGUUGGACUGAAGAACUGUCCAUGUUCUAUUCACAGCAAUGAAGUAGUAAUAAUACUCAUCUAAUCGUGGAAGUUGGCAACAAUGGAGAUUUCUAUAUAGAAGUAUCAGACAAUUAUGCUAUUAGUGUUGACAAAAACUGUACCCUUGACAACUGCCGAUUUCUAUCUAGAAUAUAUUAUAACAUACAGGUAACUGCCAAAAUAAAGGAAACACCAACAUAAAGCAUCUAAAUAGUGCGUUGGACCUCCACGAGCCAGAACAGCUUCAAUGCACCUCGGCAUAGAUUCUACAAGUGUCUGGAACUCUAUUGGAGGAAUGCGACACCAUUCUUCCACAAUAAAUUCCAUCUGGUGUUUUGUUGGUUGUGGUGGAAAACGCCAUCUCAGGCACCGCUCCAGAAUCUCCCAUAAGUGUUGAAUUGGGUUGAUAUGUGGUGACUGAGACGGCUAUGGCAUAUGGUUUACAUCUCAUCAAACCAUUCAGUGACCACUCACGCCUGUGGAUGGGGGCAUGGCCAUGGUAGCCAAAAUAAUGGCCUGCCCAGCAUUUUUAUACAUGACCAUAAGCAUGAUGGGAUGUUAUUGCUUAAUUAACUCAGGAACUACACCUGUGUGGAAGCACCUGCUUUUAAUAUGCUUUGUCUCUCAUUUACUCAUGUUUCUAUAUUUUGGCAGUUACCUGUAGUACAGUACACAAAUUAUUUUGGCACUGAGGUCAUAGUAAGACAUCUGGUACAGAUACAUGUGUAAAAGACAAAAGUCUUGAAAGUCCCAUUUAAAAUAGCUAAAACACCACUGGCCCCUGUCCCUCAGGAAUGCAGACCCAGCUAGUUGACCAAGUGCCAGGUCUGCAUAUUCCCGGGCAUGUGCAUGUCUGGCUUGCACCACCUGUCUCACCACUAGGUCUGAAAAGACCAUCCUGGUGGAGGGCAACAUCUGGGCGACACGCUCUAAAUCCUCCCUCAACCUGCGCACUAGAUCUGGGCCUCUGGCAUUUUGCAGACCAUUUGGAAAGUCAUUUUGAAUGUAUCCCAGAUUGGACAUGCAAGACCAGGAUGUCUGGUGUUGGAAGGGGGAAGGCAUAAAUAAUGUUUCAUUCUCUUUAGUAUGGAGAAGUAUACAGCUAGCUGUGUGGAGGCUGGCCCUCCUCAGUGUCUCCCUUACUGCGUUUGGCUGGCAGGCUGGAGUCAUGAGCCUUCCUAAUGUGGCGGUACAGGUCACCUGACUGCGUGUAGCUACGGUAACAGUAGCGGCACUCGUA